AGGGGGGACUGAUCCCUCGGGCUCUCCCCCUCAUGGGAUCCCCGCUCUCUUCUGAGUGGAUCUGGCGGAAGCGGGACUUUACCUGGAAAAAAUUGGAAUGGCUCCGGGCAGGCUUAUUGCUCAAUACCUUUACAUGGAAUAUAAUGGAAUAUGGCCUUGGGUCUAUUUUGUGCCGUUUCUGUGACCCUGGGCAAUGAUUCAACAGGGACCGGUCGGGGUGCUUCAUAUUGCAAUUGUCUAAAGGUGAAAUCCUUGGACCGUCUGAAGACUGCCCACAUGCGAAAGCAUUUGCACCAGGACGUUCCCCAUUGAUCAAGAACGAAAGUUAAGGGAUCGAAGACGAUCAGAUACCGUCGUUGUCCAAGGAUAAUUCAUUGAUAACAAAGAUAAGAGAUAGUAUCGAGGAUGAUUCGAUACGGUCGUAGUGGGAAACCUAAAGUAUGCGGGUUAGGGAUGGAAUAUGGUUUAUUUCUUGGAAACUUUAAGCACCUGACGAAAAAUCACACCAGGAGGGGAGCAGGGGGAGUAAUUUGACUCGACUGAAAGAAAAUCAAUCGGUCAGAAGGGCACCACCAGGGACAGAACGUGGGUCUUUUUUUGAUUCAACGGGGGGAGACUCACCAUGUCUAGUCACAAGGAGGAUGAUCAGAUUGAGAAAUUUUUCUAGAGGAUGAGGGCUGUCGUGCAUAACUAUUGCUAGUUGCGGAGUAAGGGUGAAGUGGUGGAGGAUAACGGG
rnacentral:rRNA from 1 species